rnacentral:rRNA from 1 species
GUCCACGCCGUAAACUAUGGAUGCUAGCCGUCGGAUAGCUUGCUAUUCGGUGGCGCAGCUAACGCAUUAAGCAUCCCGCCUGGGGAGUACGGCCGCAAGGUUAAAACUCAAAGGAAUUGACGGGGGCCCGCACAAGCGGUGGAGCAUGUGGUUUAAUUCGACGCAACGCGAAGAACCUUACCAGCCCUUGACAUGUCCGGACGGUUUCCAGAGAUGGAUUCCUCCUAGCAAUAGGUCGGAACACAGGUGCUGCAUGGCUGUCGU